GACGAACGCUGGCGGCGUGCCUAAUACAUGCAAGUUGAGCGCUGAAGGUUGGUACUUGUACCAACUGGAUGAGCAGCGAACGGGUGAGUAACGCGUGGGGAAUCUGCCUUUGAGCGGGGGACAACAUUUGGAAACGAAUGCUAAUACCGCAUAAAAACUUUAAACACAAGUUUUAAGUUUGAAAGAUGCAAUUGCAUCACUCAAAGAUGAUCCCGCGUUGUAUUAGCUAGUUGGUGAGGUAAAGGCUCACCAAGGCGAUGAUACAUAGCCGACCUGAGAGGGUGAUCGGCCACAUGGGGACGGAGACACGGCCCAAACGCCUACGGGAGGCAGAAGUAGGGAAUUGGCGGAAAGGGACGAAAGUCUGACCGAGCAACGCCGCGUGAGUGAAGAAGGUUGUCGGAUCGUAAAACUCUGUUGGUAGAGAAGAACGUUGGUGAGAGUGGAAAGCUCAUCAAGUGACGGUAACUACCCAGAAAGGGACGGCUAACUAC
rnacentral:rRNA from 1 species